UACGUAGGGUGCAAGCGUUAAUCGGAAUUACUGGGCGUAAAGCGUGCGCAGGCGGUUAUGUAAGACAGAUGUGAAAUGCCCGGGCUUAACCUGGGAACUGCAUUUGUGACUGCAUGGCUAGAGUUUGGCAGAGGGGGUAGAAUUCCACGUGUAGCAGUGAAAUGCGUAGAUAUGUGGAGGAACACCGAUGGCGAAGGCAGCCCCCUGGGUCAAGACUGGACGCUCAUGCACGAAAGCGUGGGGAGCAAACAG
rnacentral:rRNA from 1 species